AUUACAGCACAGCCUGAGAGGGAACCCUCUGUGGUGUUUCCCGCAGGCUGGGAACCUUUCAUCUGUAGGUCGUGUUUGUAUCCGAGAGGUGAAUGUUAAUAACCUCUUGGCAGCAGAAUGACUUUCUUAAGGAGGGGGUUUCCCUGUGUAUGGGUGGCUUAACCUUUCAAAAUACAUGCUUCUACUUAACCCACUCGGUUACUGUUUGAUUCAGAGUCCAGCAGACCAAGUCUCGGGGCUGGACCCCAAGGUGCGCGCCCUAGAGCUGAGAGGGGCUCUCGGGGUGCACACGGUGAGUGACCCAGCGCCUGGACUUUCAUUUUCCGGCUCAGCAGAGCUCGCAGUCACUGCACUCCUUAGAGGCCUCAGGUUAUCCUCCUAAAGAGCAUGUACAAUGGAUGACGCGUCUGGGAGCACCAGCAGUUAAGGUAAGGGUCUGUGCUCCGCGUGGGAGACCCUAAGGGAACCAGUGAAGUCUUUAGAGUCCUCACCAGUCGGCUCUGUCUCCGUAUCAGAUAAGCUGCUUUAAUAAGCCCUGGCCAUAUGACUGCUAUCCUCCUGGCUUCGUUGUUUCUAGAAGUUCUCUAAGGAAUGGCUGACUCACGCAGUCAUGGGGAUGACGCUGUGGUCCUGCCGUCCUCAGACAGCACAGGACUCCAGCCGUGAUCCUGUCGGGACAGGCAAGCGUCCCCGGGCUCCAAGGGAGCACUCUGUUCUGUAUUCUUCAAGGUGCCGUGUCCUCCUGUCCCUGGGGAGCAUGACAGCAUUUUAAACAAUGCAUUUCUAAAUAUAGUUACUGGAGUGUUUUAUUCAAAGUAGUCGUUUUUUCCCAAAGGAGAAUGGAAAAGAAACUUCCUAGGAGUCGCUUAAGUGUAAACAGCCAAAUCGUCUCCCAAGGAAGGUGAUUUUAACAGCCAGCAAUGGACAUGAGUAGGUUGUGUGUAUCCGGCUCGGGAAUACUGGGAUGACGGGGACAACGGGGAGGACGAGGACGACGGGGAUGACGUGACCCCAAC
rnacentral:lncRNA from 1 species